GUCAAAAGUCUAAUUUGGCUUAAAAAUUAGAAAGAUCAUCUCAUAAGCAACAAGUGUACUAAGUUUCAAGUUGAUUGGACUUCAGCUUCAUCAAAAACUACCUUGACCAAAAACUUUAACCUGGACGGACGAACGGAACCACAGACGGACGGACGGACGAACGGAGCCACAGACCAGAAAACAUAAUGCCCCUCUACUAUCGUAGGUGGGGCAUAAAAAU
rnacentral:lncRNA from 1 species